rnacentral:tRNA from 1 species
GGUAGCAUGGGCCGAGCGGUCUAAGGCGCUGGUUUAAGGCACCAGUCAUUUCGAUGGCGUGGGUUCGAACCCCACUGCUGCCA